rnacentral:rRNA from 1 species
AUGAACGCUGGCGGCGUGCUUAACACAUGCAAGUCGAACGGAACAUUUCGCCCGAAGAUUGAAGUAGCUUGCUAUGGAUUGACUCAACUGAAAUGUUUAGUGGCGGACGGGUGAGUAACGCGUGGGUAACCUACCUUACACAGGGGGAUAACAGUUAGAAAUGACUGCUAAUACCGCAUAAGCGCACAGUAUCGCAUGAUACAGUGUGAAAAACUCCGGUGGUGUAAGAUGGACCCGCGUCUGAUUAGCUAGUUGGUGAGGUAACGGCCCACCAAGGCGACGAUCAGUAGCCGGCCUGAGAGGGUGAACGGCCACAUUGGAACUGAGACACGGUCCAAACUCCUACGGGAGGCAGCAGUGGGGAAUAUUGCACAAUGGGGGAAACCCUGAUGCAGCGACGCCCGCGUGAGUGAUGAAGUAUUUCGGUAUGUAAAGCUCCAUCAGCAGGGAAGAUCAUGACGGUACCUGACUAAGAAGCUCCGGCUAAAUACGUGCCAGCCGCCGC